CUGACUUAGCAUUAGAAAAACCCAAAAAUUAGGGGUUUGAAGGGACGACUCUCUCACACUCUUAUCUUCAACAAAAAAUCGGAGGCCUUCCCCCUUGGUAGCUAGCCGUUGCUGAUGGUCUCAAAGAAGAAAUAGAGAGAAAGACUUUUCCCCAUGGAAAACCCCCAGAGUCGUCCAUAAUUCCCCCUUCUCUAACAAAAAACAGACCCGUCUUCAAGAACAAUUCCCCCCUUUAGACAAACGCUGGCCGCCUCCAAAAUUUCCUCUCUAAUCUAGCUCUCCUCUCAAUAUUUAUUCCGCAUUAGAUUCCCUCAUUUUCUUACCCAUUCUCAGAAAACUCUCAAAUUCCAUAUCUGAGGAAAACAACUCCGAAAACUAAAGAAAAAGUUCAAAAAAAGAGAGUCAAAAGUUGUUUUCAAUUUCAAUUGGUUGUUGCAUAUUUUCGGGGUUAAAAGCUUUUUUAAUCGAAGAAAUUACUGUUUGGUACUGGUCGAUUUUGCCAUGGAGUGCUGCCAUUGUUGUUGUUGUCACGUUGAGAUUCAUUCGGCCCUUUUGUCUAGCCUUUAUUUUGCGUUUUUAGUCAAUUCUCGCACAGCUAGGUAUGUAUUCCAACUUGCAUACCCAUAUUUGAUUUGUUAUGAGAUUAUGACCAUAGUAUUAACUUCUGAUGUCUCUUGAUUUGUUAUUGUGGAUCAUACUCCAUGAGCUAAUGUAUGAAACUUUCGUAUGUAUUGACUCCAAAAUCAAUAUGUUAUCAUGCCUUCAUUAGAUUAUUAUAUGCAAUAUAUACUACAUAGAUGUUAGGAAAGGAGAAACUCGUGAUUUUAAUGCUAAUGGCUUUGCAAACUUGUCCAUCACUGUUUUAGGUCAAUCAUUUAGGUUUAAAAUAGUGACAAAGGUGUUUGGUGUAAGUCUAUAUCGAAUAUUACAUGCUUUUGUUCUUUAUAAAAUUGGUGUGAAUAAAAUAUAUAUUUUACAAUUUUAUAACGACUCGGUCAGUCUUUUUAAGAAUUAAUGCCCUGAUACCCUAUUAACUACUUUUUCGUAUUUAUUUCUGCUAUUUUAAUUUGUCGGGAUGUUCGAUUUUGAGUUACGGAGAUUUUUGGGAUACUUAGUCCCGAAAUGAUAGCUUAAGUUUAGAAAUUUGACCGCAGUCAGAAUAGUGUGAAGACAAACUUGGAAUGGAAUUUCGAUGGUUUCGUUUGCUUUGUUGGGUGAUUUCAGGCUUAGGGGCGUGUUCGGAUUGUAUUUUGGAGGUCCGUAAUGUUUAAUGUGACGUGUGUACAAAAUUUCAGGUCAUUUGGACAAGGUUUGAUAGACUUUUUGGUCAAAAGCAUAAAUUUAGAGCUUUGAAGUUCUUAGGCUUGAAUCCAUAGUUGAUUUAUCGUUUCGAUGUUGUUUUAGGUGUUUUAAGGAUUGAUAUAAGUUUGGACAGUGGUAUUAGACUUGUUUGUGUUUUUGGUUGAGGUCUCGAGGGCCUCAGGAUGGUUUGGGAAGGAUACCAAGAGAUCCCGGGGAUACCAAGAGAUCCUCGGCAAUCAUCCAUGUUACAAGCGGUGUUUCCUUGUGUUUGCCUUUAUUUCUUUUUCUGUUAUUGUAUUCUUAUCAUCCUAUAUAGACUCUUACGGUAGAUUCUUAGAUAUACUAUUUAUCUUAACCUGUAAUUUUUAUUAUUAUUAUUUAUCUCAGUAGGGCCCUGACCUUCCUCGUCACUACCCGACCGGGGUUAGGCUUGUAACUUACUGAGUACCGAUAUGGUGUACUCAUGCCCUUUCUGCGCAUGUUUUUCAUAUGUAGAUCCAAGAACCUCUACCCAGGCUCAUCACUCUUGAGGUAGGGAGAUUCUUCGGAGACUUCGAGAUACAUCUUCAACGUCCACAGACCAAGGAGUCUCUAUCUUUAUUCUACCAUGUAGUGUUAGUUUUUCCAUCUCACUGUUAAUGUAGACAUUCUGGAGAUUAGAGCACUUUAAUGUAUUUCUUCUAGCUUGUGUUCUCCGUGAGUUUUCGAGUUUUGGGAUAGUGUUGUAAGAUUUUGAGAUGUUGAGCUGUAUAUGCUGAGUGAAAUCUUAUAUUUCGUUUUCUUUUGGUUAUUCUUGGCUUUAAAUUUAUAUUUUCACAAGUUUUGAUUAUUUUUCGCACUUGUUAGGCUUACCUAGUCGUAGAGACUAGGUGCCGUCAUGAGAGUUCACGGAGGGAAAACUAGGGUCGUGACACAUGACAUGUUUGAGAACUUCAUGCCUAGAUCCUAAAACGCUGUCACACUUCGAAAUAACGAAUCAAGAAUCAAAAUGAAAUGAAGAUAGGUUUAAGGAAAUAAAACAAAGAAUCAGAACAACUAAAGAAAAAUUGGCUCCGGAUUGGAAUGGUCCAUGCAUUAUAACGAGAUGUACUGACAAAAGAGAGCGUUGUACCUGGAAAACAUCAAAGAAAAUAUCCUUGAAACAACGGUCAACUCAGGUGUAGUCAAAAGAUACUAUAUUUGAUUCUCCAUAUAGUAUUAAUGUUCUUCGGUUAAGAUGACGAAGAAUUUCAAUCUCGCUAGCUAAACACCAUUAACCCUUUUCAAAACCCUUUGAGCCGGCCACUCUUAUUUGAUUACCCUCUUUGGAACCUGAAAGUGUUAUUGAAAAAGAAAAAAAAAGAAAAUGAAAAAUGAAAAAAAGGAGGAAGAAUGAAAGGAAAAAUAAAGUGAAAAUAAAACAAAACAUAAGAAAAAACAAAAGAAAAUAAAUAAAAAACAAAUUUCCUUACACUACAUUCAAGACAAGAGGGGUUGCUCUGAUGGUAAGUGUGACGAUCCGACCCGUCGUCUUAUGUGUUAUUGCUCCAUUUUCCCCCUUAUUGUGUUUCUUCAUGUUUCAAUAUCAGUAUUAGAGUUAAUCAGGUGUAAUUGAAUUGGUUUUGGUGGAAAAUAAGGCACAUGGCCUCUUAGAAGGACGCUUAUUUUGGAAAAGUCAACCGGAAGUUGACUUGUGAGUUAGAAGGAUCGGAUGUGAUUUUCGAUGAUUAGGUUAGCUUCACGAGAUGAUUUGUGACUUAGCAUAGCGAUCGAAAUUGAAUUUGGAGGUCCGGUGUAGAAUUAGGUUUGAAUUGGCGAAGUUUGAAUUUUGGCGGANNNNNNNNNNNNNNNNNNNNNNNNNNNNNNNNNNNNNNNNNNNNNNNNNNNNNNNNNNNNNNNNNNNNNNNNNNNNNNNNNNNNNNNNNNNNNNNNNNNNNNNNNNNNNNNNNNNNNNNNNNUAGGUUUGAAUUGGCGAAGUUUGAAAUUUGGCGGAUUCCGGUUGAUAGGUGAGAGUUUGACCCGAGAGUCGGAAUGGAAUUCCAAGAGAGUAGCUUCGUUAGGUGAUUUUCGAUAUGUACGCAAAUUUUCAGGUCAUUCGGACGUGGUUUAGUCGGGUUUUUGAUCGAAUAUGAGUGUGGAAGUUUUACGAAAAAUUAAGCUUGAAUCUGUCGUGAUUUGAUGAUUUUUGUGUUAAAGAACGUGUUUUUGUGAUUGAAACAUGUUUGUAUGAUGUUUUGGAGUAGGUUGGAGGUUUUGGUUGAGGUCCCGGGGGCCUAGGGGUGAUUUCGAGUGUUCAAACGGACUAGUUUUGGCCUUGGGAGAGAUCAGAUUUUUGCUGUCAUAUGUUGCAGACUUUUGUUCAUCGCAUUUGCGUGAGGAUAUACGCGAUCGCGUAGAGUCAUGUGGAGUGGGCCUGUAUUUUGGCUAUCACGUAGGGUUAGUUCGCAUUCGCGAUUAAGGGGAGGAUUGAGUUCCGCGAUUGCAUGGGGUCAGAAGCGUUCGCGUAGUAGAAAUUCCUGGAGCAUCGCGCGACGGAACGUAGUCGCAUUCGCAUAAGGGAAAAUUUGGGGUCAGCAUAAUUUGGUCAUCGCGAACGCGUGGGUCUUGGACCGCGUUCACGUAGGAUAAAAUGGCACCUGGGCAGAAUUGAUUUAAGUCAUUUUUCAUCCGCGAGCCUAUGUUAUUUUCCACCAUUGUUGAGCGAUUUUGGAGCUUGGGAGAGCGAAUUGAAGAGGGAAUCGAAGAGGAAUGAUUGGAGGUAAUAUCUUUGAACUUAAAACUCGUUUUUAUUUUUGAAUUUACCUAGAUAUUUAUGGGAAUAAGCCAAAAAUUGAAGAAAUUAGGGCUUGAGUUUUUUAUAUUUUGAAUUGGAAUUUGAUAGGUAUUUUAUUGGGAAAUCUACCUAGAGAUUCCUGGAAACAAGCCAAAAAUUGAAGAAAUUAGGGCUUGAGUUUUUGAUACUUUGAAUUGGAAUUUGAUAGGUCAUUUGAGCUUGGAUUUGGGAGUUCUUGGUAUGUAUGAACUCGUGGCGAGACGAGGAUUCCAAAAAUGUAUGUUUCGUAAUUUUUCGAAAAGCAGGCCCGGGCUCGGAUUUUUCUAGUUUGGAGAUUCUUGCUAUUUCUCUAUUGUUUUCGAUUGGGUAUUGUCCCAUUGGCAUGUUGUGAUGUAUUCGCUCUAUUUUUGGAUAGAUUCGACGUGCGUGGAGGCCUAUUUGAGGGGCAAAGGCAUCGCGAGCUUGAGAUCUCAUCGGUUCAAGGUGAGUAAUAUUUGGGAAUGAUAUCCCGAGGGUUUGAAACCCCGGAUUUGCACAUCCUAGUGUUGUAUUAUGGUGACUUGCACAUUGGACCGGAGCGUGGGGUAGAGCACCGUUGGGAUUGUGACUUGGUUCGUCCCGAUUGUUAGUUUUACCGCUAGAUUGUAAAUGUUUGUUGUUAUCAUCAUGACUUGGGCUUAUUGCCAUACUUGGGGCUUAUUGCCUAUUGUUUUGAAAACCUCGGUAUAUCAUUGUGAUGCUAUAUGAGGCAAGACACGUACUCCAUGGCUAGUGCGGGGUCAUAUAUGUGGAAAUUGUGGCUCGAUUCAAUCCGAGGGAUGAAUUGUACUAUAUUGGUGGUUGCUUCACACCCUAUAUUGAUGUUAUCUGGGCUUGAUGCCAUGUUUGGGGCCUUGUGCCGACUUGUAGAAUCCUUCAGGGAUCGUUAUCUCAGAAUUUUUAUGAUUUGCAUAUUAUUUGAAUUCAGCCCCGAUAUAAAUACUAUUUUUGCAAACUGACCCAUAUUUAUACAUUUUGAAAACUCAAAUGAUUUUUAAAUAAUAUUCUGGCCGACGAGUACUAUCUCACUAUUUAUGGACUGUAUAUUAUUUUAAAUGUAAACGGUGGUAACUAUGGGCACCAUGUAUUGUAAUGGAAACAGUGGUAACUAUUUGCACCGUGUAUUGUAACAGAAACAGUGGUAACUAUUGGCAGUGUAUGAUAUGGCGCUUGGGCAGUAGAAGCCCCUCCAGAGACUGAACCCCCACAGUGGGUGCGGGUACCCAAAUGGAUCGGGCUGCACGUUCUGCAGUGUUCAUGCAUUACAUUGCAUUCAUGCAUUUACUCCUGUUUGUACUACUUGGAACGACAUUUAGCACUCAUAUAUCAUUGGCAUACAUACUGUUACUUGCCUUGUUGACCAGAUACNNNNNNNNNNNNNNNNNNNNNNNNNNNNNNNNNNNNNNNNNNNNNNNNNNNNNNNNNNNNNNNNNNNNNNNNNNNNNNNNNNNNNNNNNNNNNNNNNNNNNNNNNNNNNNNNNNNNNNNNNNNNNNNNNNNNNNNNNNNNNNNNNNNNNNNNNNCGAGUGCUGAGCCCGAGAGGUUGAUGUUGGAUAUUGUGAGUUGAUAUUGAGUCCGAGGGGCAGGUUUCUGAAUAUUUCCUACUUGUUGAAAGUACCUUUGCAAUUGUUGAAAAACAUAUUUUCAAAAGAGAUUUUGAACAGAACUUGGGAUUUUCUAAAGGGAUUUUCCACAAUAUUUUGUUUUUCUUAAAAAGGGUUGUCCUGUCUCUUAUAGCAGUUUGGUGUGCUCAUGCGUGUCUUCUUAUCGCUGAGAUAUUAUUCUCUUUUAUUACCACUGAGUUGGAAGUACUCACUUUACUCCCUGCACCUUGCANNNNAGUUUGGUGUGCUCAUACGUGUUUUCUUAUCGCUCAGAUAUUAUUCUCUCUUAUUACCACUGAGUUGGAAGUACUCAAUUUACUCCCUGCACCUUGCAUGCAAUUGCAGGUAUUGUUCACCCGACAGCGGGUCAUUAGUAGGAUCGAAGGCCAUAUUCUGGUAAUUGAGCAUGGUGACCGCCAGCAUUCGCGGCACCACAUUCCACCCUUGUAUUCCGGUUUUGCCUUGUAAAUUUAUAUAUUAUUGGUCCAGUAGUAGUAGUGUCUCUAUUCUUUAGAUGCUCGUGACUUGUGA
rnacentral:lncRNA from 1 species